rnacentral:rRNA from 1 species
CCAGACUCCUACGGGAGGCAGCAGUGGGGGAUAUUGCACAAUGGGGGAAACCCUGAUGCAGCGACGCCGCGUGAGUGAAGAAGUAAUUCGUUACGUAAAGCUCUAUCAGCAGGGAAGAAAAUGACGGUACCUGACUAAGAAGCCCCGGCUAACUACGUGCCAGCAGCCGCGGUAAUACGUAGGGGGCGAGCGUUAUCCGGAUUUACUGGGUGUAAAGGGAGCGUAGACGGUUAAUCAAGUCUGAAGUGAAAGCCCGCGGCUCAACUGCGGAACGGCUUUGGAAACUGAGUAACUGGAGUGCUGGAGGGGCAGGCGGAAUUCCUGGUGUAGCGGUGAAAUGCGUAGAUAUCAGGAGGAACACCAGUGGCGAAGGCGGCCUGCUGGGCUUUUACUGACGCUGAGGCUCGAAAGUGUGGGGAGCAAACAGGAUUAGAUACCCUUGUA